UUGGAGGGCAAGUCUGGUGCCAGCAGCCGCGGUAAUUCCAGCUCCAAUAGCGUAUAUUAAAGUUGUUGCAGUUAAAAAGCUCGUAGUUGAAUUUCGGGAUUGACACAUCGGUCGUGCCUUAGGGGGUAUGAACUGGCGUAGUCAAUUUCUCACCUUCUGGAGAACCGCGAUGUCCUUAAUUGGGUGCCGCGAGGAACCAGGACCUUUACUUUGAAAAAAUUAGAGUGUUUAAAGCAGGCAUUUUGCUGAAUACAUCAGCAUGGAAUAAUAAAAUAGGACGGCAUGAUUCUAUUUUGUUGGUUUCUAGGAUCACCGUAAUGAUUAAUAGGGAUAGUUGGGGGCAUUAGUAUACAAUUGUCGGAGGUGAAAUUCUUGGAUUUAUUGAAGACUAACUACUGCGAAAGCAUUUGCCAAGGAUGUUUUCAUUAAUCAAGAACGAAAGUUAGGGGAUCGAAGACGAUCAGAUACCGUCGUAGUCUUAACCAUAAACUAUGCCGACUAGGAAUCAGACGAUGUUAAUUUUUUAAUGACUCGUUUGGCACCUUACGGGAAACCAAAGUGUUUGGGUUC
rnacentral:rRNA from 1 species